CAAGUCUGUUAUUACCCAAGUCCAUGAAUUACAAGUGAUUAUUCAUGAUCUACUUGCUGAAGGUCUUGUCAUCAAUGAGGCAUUCCAAGUAGCAGCAAUAAUUGAAAAGUUGCCUCCAUUGUGGAAGGACUU